rnacentral:rRNA from 1 species
GUAUUGUAAUAAGACUUUAAUUGAGUGCUAAGAGAAUGGAUUUUCAAAAAAAUUCUUUUUUAAGUUUAAAAAUUAAAGUUAUUUUUAUUUGUGAAGAAACAAUAAUAAAAAUUAAAGACAAGAAGACCCUAUGAAUUUUUAUAAACUUUAAUAUUUAAUUAAAUAUUAAAGUUUAUUUAAUUGGGGCGAUUGAGAAAGAUAAAAAACUUUUUUUAUUUAAAGAGAUCCAUUAUUAAUGAUUUUAUGUAAAAAAUACUCUAGGGAUAACAGCGUAAUAAUUUUAGAUAGAUCUUAUAGAAAAAAUAGUUUGCGACCUCGAUGUUGGAUUAGGAUACUUGUUUAAUGAAGAAGU